rnacentral:tRNA from 1 species
AAGGCUUUAAGUUAAAUAAACUAAUAGCCUUCAAAGCUAUAAAUAUAGGAAUACCCUUUAAGCCUUA